rnacentral:rRNA from 1 species
UAGGGAAUCUUCGGCAAUGGGGGGAACCCUGACCGAGCAACGCCGCGUGAGUGAAGAAGGUUUUCGGAUCGUAAAGCUCUGUUGUUAAGGAAGAACGAGUGUGAGAAUGGAAAGUUCAUGCUGUGACGGUACUUAACCAGAAAGGGACGGCUAACUACGUGCCAGCAGCCGCGGUAAUACGUAGGUCCCGAGCGUUGUCCGGAUUUAUUGGGCGUAAAGCGAGCGCAGGCGGUUAGAUAAGUCUGAAGUUAAAGGCAGUGGCUCAACCAUUGUAGGCUUUGGAAACUGUUUAACUUGAGUGCAGAAGGGGAGAGUGGAAUUCCAUGUGUGGCGGUGAAAUGCGUAGAUAUAUGGAGGAACACCGGUGGCGAAAGCGGCUCUCUGGUCUGUAACUGACGCUGAGGCUCGAAAGCGUGGGGAGCGAACAGG